ensembl:lncRNA
CGCCGCUUCCUCCCGGCGCUCCUGAGGCGAGAAGUAAAGUGAGGGAGGAGAGGGGCCAAAAAUGUGGUGACCCUCCGUUAAGGGUGAGGGAACACCCGAGGUUGGUAAAUGCUCGGGAGUCAGAGGGGCCGCGAGCGGUCAAAGUUUUAUCAGUAAGCUACACAUUUGGCAUGGAAAUUGGUACGCUGGUCCAUGACCUACUAUGAGUACAGUGGGUUCUGGAUAAAGCAGUAGCCAGUGGGUUUUGGAUGAAGGGAUAGGGGAAAAGGGAAGAGAGAGAAAGAGAUUAAUUAAAGAGGAAGAAAAAGAGAGAUACAGAGAAAGAGAGGAAAAAAGAGAGAUCGCCGGUUCUGGUUCCAGCCUCAGUCCAGCUGAGGGAAUGUCAGUCCUGGUUCCAAGGAGUCGAUCCCAGCUGUGACCACCCAAUCCAAGGUCCACGUGGGCUCAGUCACCCCCAAGGGCAACGCCUGUCCCUGAGGGCCACCCCCCUCCACUCCCCACACCCCAGGCACAAGGAAAACUUUGUAAAGGAACAGGACAUUUAAAGGAGGACACCGAAGUCAAGGCCGGGAGGGCCCAGAGGCAUUAUCUGUCCUCGUCCUUCAGUGGGAACACACGGGUUGUUCAACAAGUGCUUCUCCCCCCGGCACCCAGGCUCAGCACAAAUGUGUGUCCUACCCCCUGAGGUUCUUCCAAAGGGGAGCCAGGUACAAAUGUUCUGACUGCUGAUGGACACGGAUAAGAAUUGGUGCUUAUGGAGUGACAGAUCCAGGAUGAUUCCCAAGACAGCUGUUUGCAGCUGCAAAAGGUUUCCAGUGCCCUCAGUACCAAUCACCCAUCUUCAGCACAGAAGUCUUCAGUUUAUUAUUCUGCAACUGUGUCUAGCAAGACCUCAGUUUCCUGUUGCCUGCUGAUCAGACACCAAGUUAUGGAAGAAUCUCUGGCAUGAUGCUACUGUAGUCUAUGAUUUUCAGAGGAAGGAUCCAGGCUGAAAGCUUUCUGGUGACAUUCCAAGUAAGCUGUCAUGAGAAGAGAAUCCAACACCCAAGACCUCAGUGCUUAGGGAAAAUCAGAGGGUUUCAUCUACUCAGAAGAAAAGAGUAGAACUAUAAAUGCUAACUCAGUAAGUCCCCAGGAAUGAGCAUGUGCCAUGCUGAGACUGAAUGCAUCAUUAGCAAUUCCCUGGGGCCGGAUGUCUAUUUCAGACUGCACAGUGUAACAGCUCCAGGGAACGUACAGCCAGAGGAUGCUGAUAAUUUCACAGUUUCUGCUUCCCUGUGAGGCAGAAAAUAGAAGUGCUCUGAAGCUCUUUCCCAGGAACACAGAAGUAACGUUUUCCAAAGCCAUCAAAAGGAGAGGAAGAUAGGUGUGUUCUCUGCAAUCUGGGAGAAAGGGAAACAGAAUAAUCUGCUGCUCUGGCUGCUAAAGGAGGCUUUUGGCUGAUCAGCAAGCUGUGUGGACUGAAGCUAUGGAACUGGUCCCUUGCAGAAAAGAUUUUGUGGAGGCAUAUGAGGUUGAGAUGGAUAUCUCAGAAGCACGUAGGGUCCACAGUGGGUUCGCACCACACUAGUGCCUCCCCUUGCAGCACAGAUUAAAAUGCUCCUAGUACAUCCACACUUUAUCACAGGCAACCCAUGGGAAAAACUUCCAGGACAGAUGACUCAAGGUAAUUUGGUAGUGUGACUGCAUCCUCAGAAAGAGCAGACAAAAAGGGAAAGGCAGACAGCCAGGCGGUCUCUAGCACACUGAGGUCAAAUUCCCCUUUCUGUCACUCUCGGCUAUGGGAAAGUUGAGGACGACAGAGAGGUACCAGACACACUCCCGUGUCUGCUGGCAGAGAUGGGCGAGGCCCCAGGCAGACUGAAACACAUGCUCCUGUGAGCACAACCAUGCAAUCUCUGCCAUCAGAAAGAU